GAUGAACGCUGGCGGCGUGCUUAACACAUGCCAGUCGAACGGAAAGGCCCAAGCUUGCUUGGGUACUCGAGUGGCGAACGGGUGAGUAACACGUGGGUGAUCUGCCCUGCACUUCGGGAUAAGCCUGGGAAACUGGGUCUAAUACCGGAUAGGACGAUGGUUUGGAUGCCAUUGUGGAAAGUUUUUUCGGUGUGGGAUGAGCUCGCGGCCUAUCAGCUUGUUGGUGGGGUAAUGGCCUACCAAGGCGUCGACGGGUAGCCGGCCUGAGAGGGUGUACGGCCACAUUGGGACUGAGAUACGGCCCAGACUCCAACGGGAGGCAGCAGUGGGGAAUAUUGCACAAUGGGCGCAAGCCUGAUGCAGCGACGCCGCGUGGGGGAUGACGGCCUUCGGGUUGUAAACUCCUUUCGCUAGGGACGAAGCGUUUUUGUGACGGUACCUGGAGAAGAAGCACCGGCUAACUACGUG
rnacentral:rRNA from 1 species